rnacentral:misc_RNA from 1 species
AUACACAACCUUGUUGGUAAUUUUAACUAUAAUCUUUAUCAAUAAAGUCAAGAAAGUGAUAAAAAAAUAUUAAUGUCCUUCCACAUCAAACUUGAUAAUAUUAAAAUACAAAAAAGUGUCCAAUAAAGAAAUUCUGUACCAGAAUGUUCAUGUGAAAUAUGUGAAGUGGGUGUUGGAAAAUCCAAGAUGGCUGUAUCUGACGGGAUACGGUCUCAUAUUAGGCCAGAAACAUCCAUCUUGGUAUUUUACUGACGGUAUACGGGCUCAUGCCCGGUCAUUAGUUCUGCUCUCUGAUUGGUCAAUCUCAUUUUGAGGCAUAAUAAAAUCACAUGUGCAUCUUACUUUUUAGGGCAUCUUUAUGCAUUGUACUUCGGGCGCCGGCUUAUUAUUAUGUCUGGAUUACCUGUGGAACAGGAUUACCUGAAAUAUUCGACCAGUUUGUUAUUCCUUUAAUAUGUUAGUACCUUACCUAAAACAGGCUAACGAACUAUUCCAUUUCAGGGAAUUACUCUGCAUCAUCCUGAAGACUCUGAUAGGAACCUUGUUAGUGGGCGUCUAUUUGAAUAUUAGCACCUACAUGGAUAUUGUGUCCCCUCGUUUGUCAUAUUUUAAUUAUUCAUGACUAAAGUCAAACGGAAUAAGAACACAAUUCCCCGAAAUUUACACGUUGCAGUUCAAGUUCCCCUUUGAAUUUACAUUUGUCAAACAAUAGCUGUCUCCCUUAAUAUUUGCCUCAAAGAAUUACUAUAUUCUUAUUGAUGAUUCAGAAUCUCCUCUGUGGAAUGGAAGAACCAGAGUACGAUGUAUUUUGAACAUUUAGUGUCACCACGUAUUUUCAGCGCUCCAUUGAUAUAAUCAUUAUUUUUACAGCUAUUUUGCCCUUUCCGCCAAAUUGAAUCUGUUAAGCAUUAAUCUAAACUGGUUAUUCCCUUGCAUUGACCAUUUUUAUUUACGCACAAAGCUAUGGCGUUCCUGAAUUCUACAUAAACUGGAUGCAAGACAUAAUAUCAACAAUAUGCUAUCACAGUUUUCACAAAUGCUUGGUGUGUGUUCGUUGGUGUGAAUGCUUCAUCACUCAAAUCAUCACAAAAAUCUUGCUAGUUUUGAUGAGAUAUGAAAGGCACAUAGUUUUUACUAACAUAUCAUACACAGGAUAUAUAAACUGAGAACAUAAUUUCUUAAAAGGGGACAACUAUGUCUUACAUACAUGCUUAUGAUAUAGUCGGAAUCGCACAAACGACUUUUAUCAGAUAUGUUUUAUGAUUUUUUGUCGCCUUAUAAUGAUCACCAUUUCAGCUAUUGACAGACUCCAAACCGCUGUUCUCUCCCUGAGUAAUUCCAGCAGCUCCAUACCCGGCGUCACCUGCUACACCUUCCCCUCUGACACAGCUGAAACAGACAACAGCGUGUACGACGUGACGUGUGACGGCACAGGGAGAUACUUCACCAUCACACACAGCACAGAGACACUAAAUCUGUGUGAGGUGGAAAUAUUUGUCUGCAGUCACGGAACCUUUGGCGAACUUUGCAACCAUUUCUGCCAUUGUUCUGACGGGCCCUGUGACAGAUUCAGUGGGAUCUGUGCUGGUGACUGAAGACCAGGGUGGCAAGGACAAAACUGUUCUACUGCGUGUGAUAAGGACCGUUAUGGCGUCAACUGUAACGAGACAUGUGGAAAAUGUGCUGCUGCUCCGUCGUCAUGUGACCGGCAUAAAGGGUCAUGUGACACUGGAUGUCUUCCUGGGUGGACAGGGGUCGACUGUAAACAAGCUUGUGAACCUCAUCGUUAUGGGCCAAACUGUGUCAAGACAUGUGCCUCCAGACACUGUGUGGGACACUCUUCCUGUAACACAACUGGGCAUUGUGACAGGGGAUGUCAGACAUGGUGGACACUAAACGACUGUACAGCCUGUGACAGCCAGCACUACGGGCCUGAUUGUAUCAAGACCUGUGCCUCCAGACACUGUGAGGGGAACUCUUCCUGUAACUCAACAGGGCGCUGUGACACCAGGUGUGAGGCAGGGUGGACAGGAGCGGACUGUACAGCAUCUUCACCUCAGCAAAACAACCCAGUCGGGGAUGAGGAAAUACUUAUACAUGCAGUGACAGCAAUUGUUAUCUUGGUAGCUGCAGGGGCUGCCGUCGGUGUUGUUUGCUGGAGAAGGAGACAAAGACCAUAACUGCAGGAAUCUGAUUCCCAUGAUUACUACAACACAAGUCAUCUGUCAAAGGUUAAAACAAAACAAUCAUGAAACACCGACGAAACUCAACUUGAAGACCGAACAUACGAUGGCCGCAGCGUCAUGUCACGUGAAAUCCAGGGACCUGGAGAGACAUAUUGCACACUGAACACAGAGAAGCCAGAUCUGGAGGGUGGGGCAGCUGCUGAAGUGGCUGACUUACUUAUUUACUUACUUUGGUGAUUUAACGUGCGCUUUCCGACUGAUGCGUAUUUCGCACACGGGCCCGGCCAGGCCAUUUAAUGUGUUUCCGAAAGAGGCGAAAGUGGUCUGUGCAACCCAAGAGGGGGCUUU